rnacentral:rRNA from 1 species
UACGAGGGGGGGCGAGCGUUGUUCGGAAUUACUGGGCGUAAAGCGUGCGCAGGCGGCUUCUCAAGUCAGGGGUGAAAGCCCAGAGCUCAACUCUGGAAUUGCCUUUGAGACUGAGUGGCUUGAGUACGAGAGAGGUGAGUGGAAUUCCCCAGUGUAGAGGUGAAAUUCGUAGAUAUUCGGAAGAACACCAGUGGCGAAGGCGACUCGCUGGACAAGUAUUGACGCUGAGGUGGCGAAAGCGUGGGGAGCAAACAGGG